rnacentral:rRNA from 1 species
UACAGAGGUCCCAAGCGUUGUUCGGAUUCACUGGGCGUAAAGGGUGCGUAGGUGGUGAGGUAAGUCGGAUGUGAAAUCUCCGAGCUCAACUCGGAAAUGGCAUUGGAAACUACCUUGCUCGAGGGUUGGAGGGGGGGACUGGAAUGCUUGGUGUAGCAGUGAAAUGCGUAGAUAUCAAGCGGAACACCAGUGGCGAAGGCGAGUCCCUGGACAACUCCUGACACUGAGGCACGAAAGCUAGGGGAGCAAACAGG